rnacentral:rRNA from 1 species
UACGUAGGGUGCGAGCGUUGUCCGGAAUUACUGGGCGUAAAGAGCUCGUAGGUGGUUUGUCGCGUUGUUCGUGAAAACCGGGGGCUUAACCCUCGGCGUGCGGGCGAUACGGGCAGACUUGAGUACUGCAGGGGAGACUGGAAUUCCAGGUGUAGCGGUGAAAUGCGUAGAUAUCAGGAAGAACACCCGUGGCGAAGGCGGCUCUCUGGAACGCAACUGACGCUGAGACGCGAAGGCGUGGGGAGCAAACAGG